rnacentral:rRNA from 1 species
AUUGAACGCUGGCGGCAUGCCUUACACAUGCAAGUCGAACGGCAGCACGGGUGCUUGCACCUGGUGGCGAGUGGCGAACGGGUGAGUAAUAUAUCGGAACGUACCUUAUUGUGGGGGGAAACGCAGCGAAAGCUGUGCUAAUACCGCAUAAUCCCCAAGGGGGAAAGCGGGGGACCGUAAGGCCUCACGCAAUUAGAGCGGCCGAUACCUGAUUAGCUAGUUGGUGAGGUAAAGGCUCACCAAGGCAACGAACAGUAGCGGGUCUGGGAGGACGAUCAGCAACACUGGGACUGAGAAACGGCCCAGACUCCUACGGGAGGCAGCAGUGGGGAAUUUUGGACAAUGGGGGCAACCCUGAUCCAGCAAUGCCGCGUGAGUGAAGAAGGCCUUCGGGUUGUAAAGCUCUUUUGUCAGGGAAGAAACAGCAGCUCUAACACAGUUUGCGAAUGACGGUACCUGAAGAAUAAGCACCGGCUAACUACGUGCCAGCCGCCGCCGUAA